CUGGCGGCACGCCUAACACAUGCAAGUCGAACGAAGUAGCAAUACUUAGUGGCAGACGGGUGAGUAACAUGUGGGUAUCUACCCUUUGGCCUGGAAUAACACGAGGAAACUUGUGCUAAUACCGGAUAAGUCUUUACGGAGAAAGCUUUAUGCACCAUUGGAUGAGCCCGCACUUGAUUAGUUUGUUGGUAGGGUAACGGCCUACCAAGACUUUGAUCAAUAGCUGAUUUGAGAGGAUGAUCAGCCACAUUGGGACUGAGACACGGCCCAAACUCCUACGGGAGGCAGCAGUGGGGAAUCUUGCACAAUGGAGGAAACUCUGAUGCAGCGAUGCCGCGUGAGUGAAGAAGGCCCUUGGGUUGUAAAGCUCUUUCGUCGGGGAAGAAAAUGACUGUACCCGAAUAAGAAGGUCCGGCUAACUUCGUGCCAGCAGCCGCGGUAAUACGAAGGGACCUAGCGUAGUUCGGAAUUACUGGGCUUAAAGAGUUCGUAGGUGGUUGAAAAAGUUGGUGGUGAAAUCCCAGAGCUUAACUCUGGAACUGCCAUCAAAACUUUUCAGCUAGAGUUUGAUAGAGGAAAGCAGAAUUUCUAGUGUAGAGGUGAAAUUCGUAGAUAUUAGAAAGAAUACCAAUUGCGAAGGCAGCUUUCUGGAUCAUUACUGACACUGAGGAACGAAAGCAUGGGUAGCGAAGAGGAUUAGAUACCCUCGUAGUCCAUGCUGUAAACGAUGUGUGUUAGACGUUGGAAAUUUAUUUUCAGUGUCGCAGCGAAAGCGAUAAACACACCGCCUGGGGAGUACGACC
rnacentral:rRNA from 1 species